ensembl:snRNA U7 U7 small nuclear RNA
CGGUGUCUUACUGCUCUUUUAGAAUUUCUCUGGCAGGUUUUUCAGUUUUUUACCAGAAAAUCCCUG